GGAUGUGAGGGUGAUCUGGCUGUGAUAUUUGUCAUCCUAUUGAUCACUAGGGUUGAUUCAGCUGAUUUGGUGAGUUUUUCUUUCCUCCCUCACUGCUCCAUAUGUGUCCUUUCAGAAGCUGCAAACUCACUCGAAGAAGAUGACUAGCCCCACUAGAGGAGAACUGUUCUUCAGUCAAGGGUAUAUGAAUAGCUGCACUUCCCUGCCAGAACUUCCAAACAAGCUUUCAAAUGACUUUUGUCAGUCAAGUAAGAUGGGCACUAAGAUUGGAACUAUUGAAUUUAGCAAUGCAGAAGUGCCCUUGAUGAAA
ensembl:misc_RNA 7SK 7SK RNA